AAUGGGCAAAAGAAGGUUCAUUGGAUCGCAUGGGAUAAAAUGUGCACGAGAAAGCAUGAAGGAGGCCUAGGAUUUCGCAACCCGGAGGCUUUCAACCAAGCCUUGCUUGCAAAGCAAGCUUGGCGUCUCUUCCAGGUCCCGUCUUCAUUGUGUGCUAGGGUAUUGAAAGCACGAUACUACCCAGAAGGAUCAAUACUAAAUGCAACCUGCCCAAGUGGGGGUUCUUACACAUAUAGAAGCAUCUUACACGGGAGGAACUUGUUGCUGGAUGGCCUCAUAUGGAGAAUUGGAGACGGAUCUAAUAUUAAAAUCCACCAGAUAACUGGAUUCCCAGGGAAGGUAGCCUAA
rnacentral:rRNA from 1 species